GACGAACGCUGGCGGCGUGCCUAAUACAUGCAAGUCGAACGCACAGCGAAAGGUGCUUGCACCUUUCAAGUGAGUGGCGAACGGGUGAGUAACACGUGGACAACCUGCCUCAAGGCUGGGGAUAACAUUUGGAAACAGAUGCUAAUACCGAAUAAAACUUAGUGUCGCAUGACAAAAAGUUUAAAGGCGCUUCGGCGUCACCUAGAGAUGGAUCCGCGGUGCAUUAGUUAGUUGGUGGGGUAAAGGCCUACCAAGACAAUGAUGCAUAGCCGAGUUGAGAGACUGAUCGGCCACAUUGGGACUGAGACACGGCCCAAACUCCUACGGGAGGCUGCAGUAGGGAAUCUUCCACAAUGGGCGAAAGCCUGAUGGAGCAACGCCGCGUGUGUGAUGAAGGCUUUCGGGUCGUAAAGCACUGUUGUAUGGGAAGAACAGCUAGAAUAGGAAAUGAUUUUAGUUUGACGGUACCAUACCAGAAAGGGACGGCUAAAUACGUGCCAGCAGCCGCGGUAAUACGUAUGUCCCGAGCGUUAUCCGGAUUUAUUGGGCGUAAAGCGAGCGCAGACGGUUUAUUAAGUCUGAUGUGAAAGGCCGGAGCUCAACUCCGGAAUGGCAUUGGAAACUGGUUAACUUGAGUGCAGUAGAGGUAAGUGGAACUC
rnacentral:rRNA from 1 species